AUCCAUUUGACGAGUCUCAAAUAGGACGAAAAGCUCGUCAAACUGGAU
rfam:Schistosoma rodhaini strain Burundi genome assembly, scaffold: SROB_scaffold0000021